AGCGAACGCUGGCGGCAGGCUUAACACAUGCAAGUCGAGCGGGCACUUCGGUGUCAGCGGCAGACGGGUGAGUAACACGUGGGAACGUACCCUUCGGUUCGGAAUAACGCUGGGAAACUAGCGCUAAUACCGGAUACGCCCUUUUGGGGAAAGGUUUACUGCCGAAGGAUCGGCCCGCGUCUGAUUAGCUAGUUGGUGGGGUAAUGGCCUACCAAGGCGACGAUCAGUAGCUGGUCUGAGAGGAUGAUCAGCCACACUGGGACUGAGACACGGCCCAGACUCCUACGGAAGGCAGCAGUGGGGAAUAUUGGACAAUGGGCGCAAGCCUGAUCCAGCCAUGCCGCGUGAGUGAUGAAGGCCUUAGGGUUGUAAAGCUCUUUUGUCCGGGACGAUAAUGACGGUACCGGAAGAAUAAGCCCCGGCUAACUUCG
rnacentral:rRNA from 1 species